AUUGACCUUCCUGAAAUUUUCAUUUAAUAUCCACAGAUGCGUUGGGGAUCAGCGUGCCAGAAGGCCAGGCUCCUUGGCGCUCUCUUCCCACCCCAGCGCUUACCUGGAGCUCCAUCACCCAGCUCACAGCAGGCAGAGUAAGGCCCUGGAGGAUGGAUCAUCUCUUCUUCAUGGCUAUCCUAGGUAUACUUGAAGCUUUCAAGUUCUCUCUUCGGUCUUUGUUUGUUUUAAGGCUCAGUUCCCUGGCUUUGUUCAACCCUUCACCUUGGGGGGAUGAUUUCUAGAUUCUGAUCUUGUCCCCUUCCAAAUCGCUCCCUUUGGUCCACAUCUCUACUCACAUGCAGUUGCAAGGCAGAAUACAUCUCGGCACUGAGGCCUUAUUAGGACUGAACAUAACAGAAAGACUGUUUUCCCCAUCUUGAAGGGCACUCUUCGAUUUACCCAUUGCAGAGUGACAGCCUUUCACUGAGCAGCUCUCCCAGCCCGCUCUGCAGCCUGCGCGGUUCCCCAGCCCUUAAUUGUGCAAUUGAUUAUUUCUACCCAAGCAUAGGAUCUCGCACUGUCCCUCGUAACACACUUUUUAAAGAAGAUUAUUUCUGCAAUUUGUCGAGACCUUUCUGAGUUUUAAUUCUGUCCUCUUGUGUGCUUGCAGUCCCUCCCUGCACAGCGUUAUCAGCAGAUUUAACAAGCGUAUUCCUUCCUCUGUCAUCCGAGUCAUUAAUGAAAAAAUUAAUAAUGCUGAGCUCAAGGCAGGUCUCUCUGAAACUGUGCUCAAUUCAUCCUUUCCGUUCAAAGAGAGCCAUUUUCUGGAAAUGAAUGGUCUCCUAGCAAGCUCUGCCUGCUCUCCACCAAGCGCCGUGCUAAUGGUGAGGGCUGCAGCUGGGCACUGCUGCUCCACGGCCAUCCCACAGGGCUGCUCCUGCUGCUGAUCCUUGGUGUCGUGGUGCUUCUGUAGCUCCCUGAAUAGACAGAUAGCGAGCAGACAUGCAGAGCAAUCCCACCUCCAUGUCCUUCCAGGCAGCGUCUCUUCUUCCCAUCUCUUCGGAUUCCCACUAUGAUAAUUAAGGUUCUGAUAUGGCUUCAGACAGUUCCUUAAGUAAGUGAAGAUAAAGCUCAUCAGCAUAACCAAUUUGAAAACAUCUAAAUUAGCCAGGCACUCUUGCUGUUCCCUUUUUGGGAGAUUACGAUCUUCCCUCUUUGUUACAGUAUUAUUGUGCCGACCAUCUGCUCUCGGUUGGCCUUUUUCAUGAAGAUGGAAGCAAGGAAAUCUCAUUAAACACUCAGCUUACUUGGCUAAUGGCUUUCCCACUCCUUUUUUGGACCUCCUUUAUUACUAAUGCAAUUGCAGGAUGAUAUCUGGUUAAUUGCCCCACGCUUUGCAUCCUGACCUGCCCAGAUUCACUGCUCUCAGCACUGCUUGGUGACAAUCUUCUGAAUUAAUGAAUGCUGAGGCUGAGGUGAUGGGUUGGAACUCCUGCACAGUGGGGAACACAGUAUGAACUUUCACUGUCAGGCGGUGGCUGUGGGUCAGGCCCUGAGUGGAGCCCCACGUGUUGGGGACAGUGGCAGUGGGAGCACACAAGAAGCCCUCAGGGAAUGGUUGAGAUUCCUGAUUUUUGUUCAAUCUAAUAGCACACAAUUUGAGCAAAUUGCAUUAAUUUUUUUCUUUUUCUUUUUCUUUUUUUUUUUUUUUUAAGUUCUCUCCUGACUCCUGCUAUUCUCAGUACACUGCUGAGAUUAUUUCUGAGGUCUUUAGAGUUCUCUGUGGAUUUCCCGUUAUUGGUCCCAAUGCUACGAGUAAUUGCUCUCUGUCCUUGAGCAUUUCCAAACAGGCUCCUGCAGUGUUUCACCUUUAUGUCUACGUGACCUCAAGGCACAUGAAAAAACCUUUUCAGUGAUAUUGGACAGCUUGUAAACAGACUUCCAAAUAAUUCCAGCCAGAUGUAAACAUGCAAGGGCUCGAAAAAAGUAUUGUGAGUUACAGAGAUACAGAUCAAUAGAGACUUGUGGUUUGAAUUCACUCAUGGUAUCAUAAUUUAGGCAAUAAGAAGAGGAAUAUUAUAACAUAAAAUGUCAUGGUUGCAACUCCAUUUGUGCUCUCACACCAGAGACUGAGGAAAUGAAGAGCACUCUGGGUAGCAGAGCUAAAUAAAAGCAAAGCACAGAGGAACCUGGCUGGGCAUGCUGACCUUCUUUUCAGAUUUCAAGUGACUUGAAAUGGAGCCAUAGUUAGAAGUGGCCAUUCACAUUGUUUCUUCCUGCAGAGCAUUAACCCACAGCUUACUGCAGCAAGCUGUUAUCCUCUAGCAGGAGAAAAACCAGCAUUUCCCCUUUUCUCUUGUAAUGUCUGAAACCAGGUGAGUUUUGUCAGGUCCGAAUAUUUCUAGCCUGGCUGAGAUAUCAGAAUGAAACAGAAAUGCUCACUGUUGGUUAUACAAUGCUAGGUGAAAUGCAGCAGAAAGCUCACUUUUAUUCAAAUCCUCAGGAACCAAGGAGCAGGAGCCCUAGCUGCGGGUGCUGCUCUGGCUUUGGGGUGGCAGCCACAAGCCACCUCCAGCCCCUCGGCCACGAGCCCAGCUCCUGGGGGCACGAAGCCCCUGGCAGUGCAGUUUGCCUCCAAGCAGCCCAGAUCUAAGGGAGAGCAGCCCGGGCUGAGCAGUCCCAGCAGUGCUGAGUGGGAGGAACCAGAGCCUGGAGUCACCAUUGCAAACUGCAACCUGCACAGGACUCCAUUGUGGCUCUGCUGCUUUGCGGCCAGCUGGAGCUUUUCCUGGCUCUUUCUUUGUAGCUCUUCAAUUGGAAUGGAAGAAAUGAAAAGCUUGGUCUGGAAUCCAGGGCAGACAUAACAGGCAGGUUGUUACAGGUGGGUUUUCCUGGGAUUCUCCUGCUGAAUACAAGACCAAGAUUGAAGGCUUUGCCAUGAGUGCAGCUGCAGAGCUGUGAACUUCUGCAGGGAGUGAGCAGCCCUGAGGAGGCUGAAGAAGGAGGAAUCUGUGGAGAAGUGAGGUGGUGCUUUUUAAACAAAUCUUUUUUGACAAAAGAAUUGAAAUAUGAAGCCAAUUAAAACACCAAGGAAUUUUCAAAACAGUCAGAACAGAGAAAAUACGCCUUUAAGCUCAGCCCAUGUAAGCAGAUAACAAAAUCUUGAUAGCUGACACCAGCUAGAAGCAGUUCAUAAAGAAGGGGUGUUUUCCUUCUUAUCCAUUGCUUCAAGCAGUCACUCAAUUUAAAUUUAACUUCCAGUUCAGCGAGUAAGGAGUUUAAGGUCUCUGGCUGGUGAUGGGAGGACAGCCGCUGCAACGCGAGCGUGCAUGCUUCAGCACACCAGGAUGCUUUGUGAUACGUAAACUGAGGAGGGAAAAGACAGAGGUCAGACUAAAGGGCAGCAUGAGGAAAUGGUAGAGCUUACUGAUUCCGCUCGGAGCCGGUGAUCCAAGGAGCUUCCCCCACGAGAUUGGUGAGAUCCCCAGCAGCCCUAUUACCUGCUGUGGAGGCAGAGGUGCAUGGUAGUGUAGCUUCCAAGCCAACCGUGUGGCGGUUUGAUGGCUCCUGAGGACACAGGGCUGGGUGUCCGUCGCCCCACAGAUAGGGCACGUGCAAUGUUUGCCUUCCUCGCCCUCAAAAAAUGAAGAACUUCCUUCUUUUUUAGUUACUGAGCUGGAAACUGUUAAACCAGGCCAAGACGGUCCGUGAAGUAGUGCAAAAACAGUUGAAAAGUCAUUCGCUCAAUAAUCAGCAGGGCUGGGAUGCCUUGUUCUCUGCCACCUCAACAGCCAGCAGCUGCAGGAAGACUUUUCUCUCAAAGGUCAAUAAACUCACCCGCUUUUGAUUUUACUUGUAUACGAUAUUGCAAAAGCUAAAUCAUGCCUUCCCUUCAAAACUCAUAUUUAAGGCUUCCUGGCAGGCACUCAGAGCUGUCACACACCAGGGGAAGGGACGCGGUUUCGUCGCAUCUACGCAGUUGCAAUGCCUCUGUUUAAAGGCACGUUCUUCACAUUCAGGUGCUACCAGGAAAAUUAGAAUGAGGUUUGUUUUCUUGUUUCCCUCACUGCAAAUGGCUUUUACUGAGCUGUUGAACAACAGCGGUUGGGUUUUACCUUGACACUUUAAUUUGGAGGCAAUUUAAUAUGUUCCGACUGAAGAUUUAAAAGUCGAGCUCCCAGUGCGGAGCAGCAACGAGGCACAGAUUUCAUCAUUCUUGACCCAUUGUCAGUGGGGUCUGGUUUUUUGGGUUUUUUGUGAUCUGUCACUUCAGAAACUCUGUGUUGUUUCACUCCAGGUACUUUAACAGCUCAUUUUAGUCCUGCUGACAUUGCUGUGUCACGGUUCAUGUCUUUUCUGACAUGAAGCUAUCAAGUUCCUCCAUUUACUCUUCCAUUUUACCCUUGGUUACAAAUGAGGUUUAGAAAAGCUAAAACCUCUCUGCAGCUAAGGUCUCUUUUAUUGAAUAGUGUUACUCCUUGCAUUUUAUGAUGUCUGAUGCGUGUGCUCAGUCAAAAGGCUGAAUAUCUUUGCAAAAUACUCCGAAAAAGGACUAUUGAAGAUAAAUACCGGGAAGUAAAAGUUGUCAUCCGUUUGGAUUUCAUUUGGAUUCCUGUCCAGUGAGGAUAUUUUGGACUAUCCUCGUCUUUCUGUGCUCCCCAUUGGCCCCAUGGCUCUGCCACCUCCUCCUGGAGCUGAGGGUGGCACAUCCACUGCACGGCGCUCACCUCUGUGGAGGAGGAGCAAACUGUGCCGAAUGGAAGUAAAGGCCACUGAGAAUGAUAUCAUUUCUUUCUCUUUUAUAUAUAAGUGUUCUGAUAAGGCGAGCUCUGGAGGAGGUGGAUCUUUCAUUUACAACUUCCAGAGAUUCUCGAUUCAUAUUUGGAAAUGAAAGACAACAUCUACUUCUUUUUUUAUCUCUGAAUUUUAAGCCUGUUUCCACACCAGAAAGUGUGGGAGAAGAAUAGCAGAUAAAAAUGUUUGAAAUACGAGCUAUUCUUUGAAGUUCUUGGGAUAUUUUAAAGCUUUUCCCUUCAGCUAUUUAUUCUGCGCACUUAACAUCUGUUUUAUGCUUUGAUAUAUUUUGCAAUUAUUUUUCAUCCUUAAUUUGAUUUUCCUUUAAUAACAUUGUUCCCCAAAACAGUGGAUGACAAAGACGUCUGGCACGCAUCAGAUAAUCCCCAUCUCACCACGAUGAGUUGUUUUAAUUACGCACACGUACGUAUUGUGCUGCAGCUCUAAUUAAAGGCUUUAUGAUUUCAGGAGGCAAUCCUGUAGAAAAACUACUUUUGAAACGAUUUGCAGUGUUAGUUCAGAUAGGCAUGUUUGUAUACAGCAUGUGGAUUUUCCUUGACAAGAUCAGAAUUGCUGAAGAGAAGUCAGACCCCUUCCCUCCUCGCUAUUGUAAGAGGAGGGAUGCUUUCUCAUUAAAGAAAAAAUAAUUUUCUUGUGAAUUUACAAUACUGUAUCUAUUUUCCCUUCUCUCUUUUCACUUUCUUUUUUUUUUCCUUUUCCCUAGGUAAUGAAUAUUCUGGAUUCUGACAGUAGUGGAUUGCCUUGUUUGUAUACAGCUAGCUUUGAUUUCACGCCAGUAGGCUUUCUCUGAGAAUUAGAUAUUAUUUAGAUAUACAAGGACUACUCUAACCAGGCAGUUCUGCCUUUGACAAAGGAAUGGGAAUGUAAUGGAGUUUCUCAGUGUUCUGUAUUAUAAUUUACCUAUAUGGUACCAUGCUGUGGGUAAUAUAUUUCUUUUAUUCCCUGGCAAAUCUGAAUUGCCUGGGGAAACAAAUAGAGCUUUGUUUAAAACAUAACAGCAACAACAAAAAGAUUAAAAAAAAACCCCUCUAAUUCCAUCUUAGAAUCUGAAAAAAAAAAAAAAAAAAAAAGGUCUGACCCUCAUUCUAGAUAUUUCAUUCUAGUUGCUAAGUAAUUUGCUAUUUUUUAACAUAGAACAGCAUUCAGAAUGAAAUAUUCGAUUAAAAAUAUUUUGACCAAAAUGUGUUAUUGAAUCAGUUCUAACAACAACAAAAAAAUGAAGACAAAUUGCUGAAAUGACGGGUAGUCACGAGGCUCAGCCUGACUCUGCUUUGCAAAAGAGCAAGAUCCACAACACACCCUUCUCCUCCAACGCCUGCCCCAGAUUUUAAUACCACAAACCAGCAAGAACUGCUGGGAUGUGAAUUCUGAUCUUCUGAAUGUGCUGAUCUGAAUGAACCAUCCUUAAUAUGGCUCCAGCUUUGCUGCUGCAGGUAUGUGGAUGGAAGGAGCACGCAGGAUAGGGCUGGAGCUCUGCUUUGUUGAGCAGCAUCUUGGAAACCCAAUGCAAAACCAGGUAAGUACUUGUUGUGCUAUGACAUCUGCUACCCAUUCCAUAUUUUUGACCACUUAAUGACCUUUACAAGGAAUUAAUGUUCUUAUUUUUCAGUGCUUUGGUAUUUUAAUCCUUUUUAAGAACCAUUUCUAUUAUUUAGCGCCCACCUCCGUGUGCUUUAAUAUGAGAAUCUCAUUCAAUUUCAUUUUAUGUCCGUGGUAUAAAUCUUUGAUCUUUAUUUUAGCUUGGUCUGUAAUGUAACCAUUAAGGAAAAUGCAAAGGAUGUCUCUGAUUUUCUCUCGCUAAAAGCAGGGCCAGCAGUUUCACAGAGAUCAGCAUCAGGUAAUGCUCCUCUCAAACAAUUUUCCCAUUUGAGGAAUAAAAGUUAACAAACAUGCCACAACAGAUGUUUUCAAUUUGGUGCCCUAGAUUGCAUUUUGAUGCACUGAACAGCACCACUUCGGCACCGCCAGGAAGCAUCCCUUGUUGCUUCUAACAAGAGCUGCCAUCGUGAUGCAUUCUGUUGACCACAUUUUGAAACACAGAUUGUUUCUAAUUUUGCUUCUCUGAUUUACUUUCAGUACUGGAAUAUCUCCAUUGCUUUCUCUCUCUCUCUCUGUUUUGUUUUUUUUUUGUUGUUUUUUUUUUGUUGGUUUUUUUUUUUUUUUUUUUUUUUUGGAGUUUUUUCCUGACCAAGUGCAUACUGAGAGACCAGGACCUGCCCCUCACCCUUGCUGCCAGGAGGUGUGGGGGGCUCAGCCCAUGGAGGGGCUGGCAAUAUUCAGCCUGCGCCAAAGCCUCCAUGAAGGCAUUCUGUUUGGCAGGAAAGUGUAGUGUUUAGGUUAUUGUCAAGCAGUCUUGAGAUAUAAAAAUGUUUCUGUGGGAGUUCUUGGCUCUGCAUGAAGGCUGAGAGAGCCUGUGGGGUGGAGGAACUGCUGAGCUGCCUCCUGCUUUGCAGAUGGAUGGGAGAGGAGAGGCUGGCUCCAGUUUGGGUCUGACCAUUGGUUGUGUUCUCAUGCAAGGGCAGGGAUGGGUUUUUCUUCUGGAAUUGCUCUGUUUUGAGCCAAGGUGUUGCUGGAGAUCCCACCGUGUGUGAGGUGGAAAUAAAGCCUUAAAAUGUAAAGGGGUACUGAGUGCAGUGGGUGUUAACCAACUGCACGUUCUCCCUCCUGCUCUGCAGAUGCUCCUGUGUGGCUCCAGAGGAGCCCAGGUCCUUGAAGCAGGGAGGGUUGGUUUCUGUCAGCAGGCAAAGGCUUCUGCCCUGAACACCGCUGCCUGAACUCCUGUGCAAGCAGCUCCAGAUUGUCCUUGCGACUCCAAAAUAUGGAUUAAAAAUAAAAGCUGGGUAAAUUAAAUCAACCAGGCUCCAGGGAAGAACUCUCUGCUGUGGCUGCUUGGAGCUGUGCUGUGGCUGGGCAGCCCAAGCCCCCGCAGCUGAUGGAGCUGCCCAUGGGUUCCAUCUGUGGACGGAAGCAGUGAAACACCUUGCACAGCAUUUGUGGGUUUUGCUCAGAAAAACAACUUUGUUUUUGGAGAAUGUUAUUUUUCUCUUUGCAAUGUCCAAAGCAGAAACUGCCUACUUUAAGCUUUCUGAAUAAUCCGAGUAUAUUUUGCAUAUGUUUUCUUCUGCUGUUCAAAAGAUAGAAAUGGGAGUUAAGGAUGGCUGCUUGUUUUGGCACGGUGUCACGUAGGCUGAUCCAAAGAAAGAAAAUCCCUCGUGAUGACGAGGAUGGUGAUGGAAGCUCCAGGUCCUUCCUCCCACGGGGACGGGGCGGCUGAGCUCAGAACUGUGCGGGGGACAGCCUGCAGUGGGGCCUUGGGCUCAGCUCCCCCAACAGCCCCUGGCUCACACUGCAGCACCUUCUGCAUGGGAAGAGCCCUCAGAGACUGGGGCUGAAGGUAUGCCAGCCACCUCUGGCCAGGUGUGUCGCAGGUGCCAGGAGAAGGGGAAAAGUGCUGGGAUUCAUCGUAAUCUUUGGUUUGUAAGAGGUGACAAUUUUACAUAGUUUAUGCAAAUUUCGCCAAGUCUUUAAAAAAAAAUGUUGUGAAGAGGACACUGGCAUCAGCUUGAAAGGAAUGUAAAUGAGCGUAUCCUUAAUGCACAGUGCUGUUUGCCAGCAACAACAAGUCUAGGGGAGAUGUAUUCCCACUGAACUCACAGAGUUACAGCGGUGCUGACACCAAGUUCUGUAAUUUUGUGCUAUUGCAGGGAGCAAAGUCAUCUCGUUGGGGAACUCUUCAUCUUUCUGGCUCUGCUUUGUAUACUGCUAAUGAUUCUGUGGUUACAUCUUUUUUUUUUUAAUUUGAUUUUUGGUGGUGCUUUUUGCUUUUUCUUUUAUUUUUACAUUUCAGUGAAUGUCAUGCUUUUAUGUAAGACUCCAUAUAGUAUACAGAAAUAUGAAUUAUGCAAAACACCACCCAGCUGUCAGCGUACACGUGAAGAGCACUAUCACGCUGAAAUAAGUCAACGUGUGAGAAAUUGAAGUCCUUUGGUGACAGAAGAGCCUUAGAUCUCUACGGCAGGUGAACUGUGAGAGCUUUGUGGCUAAUUGCAUCCAUUCAUGCCAACAAAACCUUCCCAGGUUCUCAAUUGCAGUCUUCACCCAGAGCAAGAUUUUGCUGGACCCUUGAGCAGCUGUUUCCUACUGAAAAAGUGUUUCUGUGGUCACAGGCAUGAAGGCAUCUGCUGCUGAUCCUCCCGAGAUGCAGUCCUUUGCUCUGGCACCACCAUAGUGCAUGCUCAUGGUCAUAAGCCUGUUUUCAAAUCAUCUUCAGAUUAAAGUUGAAGGAAGUAAUCUAAGGAAAAACAGAUUACUUUGAAAGUAAUGGAUUAUCUUGCCUCCAAUUUCUUCCAAGUCUACAGGUAAAGUUGUUUUUUGAGUUUAGUCUGAAGCUGUUUGAUGGGGGGGGAAAAGAAAGGUGAUGCUCUGGGAAUCCAGUGUUGGUGCUGAAAAUGCAAGUUUUUUGAGCAUUCUGGUUUUAUAUCUGUAUCAUAUUCCACCUGCAUCACCAGCUGCUGCUUUUCUCUGUGGUGCCCUAUGAGAUGUGCCCUGUGUUCUGCUCACUUCUUGCGUGCAGAUUGGAUUUUCUUGUCUGUAUUUACAUUGUGAAGGAAUUGAUGGGAAAAAUGGAACCUUCUAAUUGCCUAAAGAGAAUCAAUAUGUGGCUUAUUAGGAGAUACUUAACACUGGUUGUAUCCUAUGAUGUUCAGAGAUCGUUUUUAUUUGAUAGGUGUUCCUAUUGCUCAGUUAAAAAAAAAAUCAUGUUUGAGACAUGCAGAAGUGUGAAGAACUAAUUCACACUGUUAUAAAAUAGUUAUGUAAAUGAGAUGUGGAGGAAUCAUUUAUCUGAAAGAUUACAUGGGAAUCACGUCAAUCACCGGGAUCAGGUAAUGAAGCCCUAUUCCUUCAUAGUAAAUAUGGUGCUCUGGCCCUGAUAUCUGAAUACAGAGGAGGGGAUUUACCAGUUUCCUGUGGGGAUUUUGCAUCUGCUAUAAAUAGAUGUCACAAACACUGUUUUGCAGUCAGAUUUGCCAUUGUGCAGCAUGGGCAAAUGAUUGGCUUUGCUAGCAAAGUUUUGUGAGCUGAGAUGUGAAGGUCAAACAAUCAGAAAAUGUAAAAAAAAAAAAAUUAGAUUUAAAAUAAGAUACAUUCAAGCAAUUUUCUUUUUUAAUGUAACAUAAUAUCUGUAAUAUGAAAUAAUUACCUGAGGCAUCAACUUAUAGGGACCCUGCCAAACAACAGCAUACUUUGUAAGGAAGUUACAUUUGGAGUAUGUUUGGGAACGACCUGCAAAAGGGCUUUGCCUUGUGAAACUGGCCAUUCAUUUUCUCCAGCACCUCAAAAGAAUCCACAUGAAGACCUCUCCUGACCGAAGACUCAGAAAUGGUCUCACCUUCCUGUCGUGCUGGAUUAAGAAGCCAUAAAAAGACAGACAUGGAGAAGAGAAUUUCUGAAUAACAGGUGUUGAAGAUGAAUUACAGGAGAGAGGUGGUCGUUCACCUGAAUUUCAAACUAAUUAAACUACCUGAUAUCUGUCAAAAAUAAUCAGGAUAAAAACUGCUUUCUUGAAGCAACUCUUUCAAGAUGGGAAGCCAGUGCUGGGGGGAUGCGUUGGACACUGUGAAACCAGCGUGGCACUGGGCUGGUACUCCAAGAGCAUCUUCUGCAGCCCCCAGUGGGAUUCUCCAUCCCAGGAGAGGACUUGUCCAUCUUUGGAACGACAAGAGGCUGGUUGGGGUCUGUCACUGUUCUGCCAUGGAUGCAGCUAAGAGGAUUCACUGAAACUUUCCCAAAACCAGUGUGGGCAAACAGCCAGGCCUGCCUCAGAAAGCAGUUUCAUUGGAAGCUGGCAUUCAUAAACUCGACCCCAGGUUUGAGCAGAGCUGCAGGGCUGAUUCCAGACAGCCGACUCCGUGAGGAAGGCACAAGUGCCUCAUUGCUUUUUCUGGCAGAGAACCUCAGUUAGCUGAUGCUUCAAAGGAGCGGCCGGCCUGCCGUGAGUUCAGGGUCAAGUCCCAGCAUCAGCACUGCAGCUGCCCAAACUGCCAGCACCGAGCGCUGCUUCUUCUUUGGCCUUGAACCUUGUUAUUAAGAAUAACAUAUAAUAACAAAGGAGCGUUUUGAGUGAUUUUGUUAGAAAUGCAUCAGGCUGUCUAACAGUUUAUUGGCAUCGGUAAUUCCUUAUUAAGCCCUCUACACCCAUUAUGGUUUGUGCUUUCACUUUUUUUUCCAUGUUAGUUUCCAGGCAACCAGCAAGAACUGAAUUACAUUAAGCUAUUAAUUCAGGACCGCACGCCAGCUCGGGCUUCUUCUGCCGAUUUGCUCCUCUCACGUGCAAGUUUCCUCAUAAAAACCCUUUUUUAUUGGUUUAAUCUUCAGUGGCACUCGGUCCAGGGAACUGAUACGAAAAUUGCCAUGCCUGCACCUGAUUUUUGUUUCUUGCUUGUUUUUUGAUGCUUGCUGGUGGGGUUUGCUUGAUGUAGGAUUAAGCAGAGGUCUGUGAGGAGGGGUUGAUGUUAGCUGCCAUAGAUACAGCUAUCUACCUCUGUUUUCUUCAAUGCUGAGUAAGAGAUGAGAUCAUAUUGAAAACUUGUGUGGCAGGAACACCUCUGUUAUCGUUAAAGAGAAGCAGUUUCCAUGUUAUGCUCCAUCGCUAAAUGCCUGUAGCACUGGGAAAGGCACUGGCUGCAGAUCCAGCUGAAAGCAAUAUCUUCAGGUGGGACAGAGAUCUGGGGACAAAAUGCAGUAGUGCCUAAUAACUAUGAGCCCUGAAAUCCAGCUUGUGCUCUAUACUGAGCCUACCAUCUAUUUUAUUCCAAGGCCAGAACUGUCAUUACCCAUUCCACAACCUAUGCUCAGAAGGGACAAGUGCAGACUUCAGGUACUUCUACUGUCUUUAUCUCAUCCUGUUUAUUGGUGCCCGUGAGUUGAAGGGGUCUGUGACACUAGAGAAGUUGUGCUGGUGAAAUACAGGGAGUCCACAAUUAGAAUAAUCAACCUUAAUGAAAAGAAUCUGUCUUUAUCCACAGCCAAAAGUAACAACAAACAAGUAAUAAAUAAGUAAAUGCUGUAUGAGACUGAAACCAAAACAGAGACACCAUUUCAGAUAAAGUUUCUAUGGCUUUUGUAAAAUAGUUGAGCUGGACAGAAUUUUAAAAACAGUGAUUUCCCCUUUUUUUUCCUAAAAAAACCACUGUUCUGAGCUGUUUUUUGUUUUACAGGGGUCUGUCAUAAGAGCUCGAACUGUUGAAAUUCAGACCAUGAAAGUUAACCAUGACUUCUUAAAACUUCACUGGAAAAACCCCAAACUGGAUGUUUGCAGUUUGUAAGCAAGGUGCAUGUGAUCUAUUCUCUUCCCUGUUAUAAGAGGCCAUCAGAAGUUGUACUGCUAAAAAGGACUUUUACACCUUAUCGGAUCUCUUAGGACUGUCAUACUGAGCAGACCUGGUGUUUGCUCCCCAUUCCAUUGAUCUGUUGUAAGUGUGGCCGCCCUGAGGUGUGAGCUUCUAUCACCAUACCCAAGCCCUGUGGUCAACGUGUUCAACCUAGUCAUGCUCUCUGUUUCUGGGACAUACUUUAUUAAACAUUUUCAUCACUUUCAACCGUGCAUUCAUACCUCAACAGAUUUAUAUCUGCAAUUAGAGGACUUGCUGUUUACCAGGAGAAACAAAGCUGGUAAAAAGACACCUUGCAGCAACAUAACUCAAAUGUCAUGAGUUACUACUAGUUUCACAUUAAUAAUACAGCUGAUUCUUUUUCUACAGCUUAGGAAUGUGCCCCAUGUCAGAAACCUUUGGAGGUAUUCCAGAAGUACUGAGAUGUGGCUGUCCAGUUAAAUACGAUCAGAUGCAUAAGGGAAGAAAGCGAGCUCUCUCCAAGAUCUAUGUUCAGUAAUAAGAUAUUUUUACUUAACAAAGUCUCUACCAGAUGGCGUUUCUAAAUUUUGAAUAUUAGGUCUGGUUGUGAAUGAGGCCUCCACAGGGUUUGAUGUACUGUGGAUGAGAUGCAGUGUUUAAGCCGUGGGUAAGAGCUCGUGUGCUGCUCCUCCUGUUUGCAGCAAGGCAGCAGUGACA